rnacentral:rRNA from 1 species
CCCUUAGAUGUCCUGGGCCGCACGCGCGCUACACUGACAUGUUCAACAAGCCUCCUAGUUCGACAGGAUUUGGGAAAUCUUUGAACGCAUGUCGUGAUAGGGAUAGAUCAUUGCAAUUAUUGAUCUUGAACGAGGAAUUCCUAGUAAACGCGAGUCAUCAGCUCGCAUUGAUUACGUCCCUGCCCUUUGUACACACCGCCCGUCGCACCUACCGAUUGAAUGUUUCGGUGAAGAUUCCGGAUAGGACUUUUUUGAUUUAUUUCAAUUUUGUCUUAAAAGCUAUCUAAACCUGAACAUUUAGAGGAAGGUGAAGUCGUAACA